CAGCUUGGAGAGAUUGGGGGUGUUCCCAUGCACAAGCUGGCAUCAGUUAGGGAGAGCGCCCGAUGGAAAAUUGGUUCCUGUUUCAGAGGGAAUGAUGAGUUAAAAAUAGGGAGGUCUAGCCAAAGCCAUGCAAGGAGCCUGGCCCACCACAGUGGGGAUACGCCUUCCUUCCAAUUGGAGUGACACAAUGGAACACUGCUGUCAAUACAGCCCCCCCUUACAUCCGGAUCCUGGAACAGCCCAAACAACGUGGGAUGCGUUUCCGGUAUAAAUGCGAGGGACGCUCGGCCGGGAGCAUCCCGGGGGAGAAGAGCACAGACAGCACCAGGACGUACCCCGCCAUCGAGGUAAGGUGUGGGCGG